AAUUUUGGACAAUGGGCGCAAGCCUGAUCCAGCCAUGCCGCGUGAGUGAAGAAGGCCUUCGGGUUGUAAAGCUCUUUCGGACGGAAAGAAAUCGCGCAGGCUAAUACCCUGCGCGGAUGACGGUACCGUCAUAAGAAGCACCGGCUAACUACGUUCCUGCAGCCGCGGUAAUACGCAGGGUGCGAGCGUUAAUCGGAAUUACUGGGCGUAAAGCGUGCGGCGGGGGGUGAAUAAAGCCGGCGGUAAAACCCCGGGCUUAAACCGGGAACUUCGGUUGGGAACUGGCAGGUAGAGUACCGCAGAGGGGGGGUGAAAUCCAAGUGUAGCAGGGAAAUGCGUAAAGAUGUGGAGGAACACCGGUGGCGAAAGCAGCCCCCUGGGCCGAUACUGACGCUCAUGCACGAAAGCGUGGGUAGCAAACAGG
rnacentral:rRNA from 1 species